AGGCUGAGGUCCAGUCUAAAACCUCGGGCGAUGACAAACACCAUGGCCCUGACAGGGGUCCCAGCUGGCUGGUGUGCAAUACUGCAGACAUGCAAGCAGCUGUCAUGACAGGGUGAGGCUGGUCCGGCAGGCCCAGUCUAGCAUACACAUAGUGGGGCUGGGAGACACCCGGUGCUACACAGACUUAGUGCAGAGAUAAAGCUCCAGGUUGGGAGGAAAAGUGAAGGCAAAAAAACAAACAAAUGCAUGUAAGAAUUACAAUCUAAAAUACACACACACACACACGCACGCGCGCGUUGGGAAACCUUGCUCUAAAACACACACACACACACACAGCGCGCGCGCGCGCGCGUUGGGAAACCUUGCAGGUUCCAAAGUUCCUAAGCAAAGCAGAACCAAGCUUAGAAAUUAUGUGUGUGUAUUUUCAAUCAGUUUUAGAAGAAAUGUGGUUUUCUUCUAGAUUUCCAGUCAUCUGUCUGUUCUAGUGCAAUAAAGCAGGCUGGGCCGGGCCUGUUCAGGGUCCCAGGGAAGAAGAAAGAAGGGGAGUGGCCACCUGGGGACCCUUCCUCUCUGGUCCAAGGGUUGUUUUGAGUCUUUUUAAUGAUUUCUUUGGAAAUCACAAGGUCCAGCUAUGUGAGGAAGGGAAAUCUUCAUUCUUUAUACUCUGUGGCUGAAAAAAGGAACUUUCAGAGCCUUUAGGUAGUUCACUGAGAGCCACUGAAAGAGC
rnacentral:lncRNA from 1 species